AUACGUAGGGGGCAAGCGUUAUCCGGAAUUACUGGGUGUAAAGGGUGAGUAGGCGGCAUGAUAAGUAAGAUGUGAAAGCCCGCAGCUUAACUGCGGGAUUGCAUUUUAAACUAUUGAGCUAGAGUACAGGAGAGGAAAGCGGAAUUCCCAGUGUAGCGGUGAAAUGCGUAGAUAUUGGGAAGAACACCAGUGGCGAAGGCGGCAUUCUGGACUGAAACUGACGCUGAGGCACGAAAGCGUGGGGAGCGAACAGGAUUAGAUACCCUGGUAGUCCACGCCGUAAACGAUGAGUGCUAGGUGUCGGAGGGGAACCUUCGGUGCCGCAGCAAACGCAAUAAGCACUCCACCUGGGGAGUACGAUCGCAAGAUUGAA
rnacentral:rRNA from 1 species